AUGAGCGUGGAGAUCCUGGACGGGAAGACGGUGCAGAGCUUCGUGGAGGACGAGGGCGCCUUCAACGCCUCCGUCGACGGCCGCUUCGCGGCGCUCGACGCCAACCACGACGGCCUGCUCUCCUACGCCGAGAUGGCCGGGGAGCUCAUGAGCCUCCGGGUCCUGGAGAAGCACUUCGGCGUCGACGAGGCCGGCGCCCUGGGGCCCGACGAGCUCGCGGGGCUCUACCGCGGCCUGUUCGCGCGCUUCGACCACGACGGCAACGGCACCGUGGACCGCGACGAGUUCAGGGCUGAGAUGAAGGAGGUCAUGCUCGCCGUGGCCAGCGGGCUCGGGUUCGUGCCGGUGCAGAUGGUGGUCGAGGAGGGAAGCUUUCUCAAGGUGGCCGUGGACAGGGAGCUGGCCAGAGCUGACUGA
rnacentral:rRNA from 1 species